rnacentral:rRNA from 1 species
UACGAGGGGAGCUAGCGUUGUUCGGAAUUACUGGGCGUAAAGGGCGUGUAGGCGGUCCCAUAAGUCAGAUGUGAAAGCCCUGGGCUUAACCUAGGAUGUGCAUUUGAUACUGUGGAACUAGAGAUCGAGAGAGGAAAGUGGAAUUACGAGUGUAGAGGUGAAAUUCGUAGAUAUUCGGAAGAACACCAGUGGCGAAGGCGGCUCACUGGCCUGGUAUUGACGCUGAGGUGCGAAAGCGUGGGGAGCAAACAGG